GCUUGCUUCUCCGGAUGAGUUGCGAACGGGUGAGUAACGCGUAGGUAACCUGCCUGGUAGCGGGGGAUAACUAUUGGAAACGAUAGCUAAUACCGCAUAAGAGUAGAUGUUGCAUGACAUUUGCUUAAAAGGUGCAAUUGCAUCACUACCAGAUGGACCUGCGUUGUAUUAGCUAGUUGGUGGGGUAACGGCUCACCAAGGCGACGAUACAUAGCCGACCUGAGAGGGUGAUCGGCCACACUGGGACUGAGACACGGCCCAGACUCCUACGGGAGGCAGCAGUAGGGAAUCUUCGGCAAUGGACGGAAGUCUGACCGAGCAACGCCGCGUGAGUGAAGAAGGUUUUCGGAUCGUAAAGCUCUGUUGUAAGAGAAGAACGAGUGUGAGAGUGGAAAGUUCACACUGCGACGGUAUCUUACCAGAAAGGGACGGCUAACUACGUGCCAGCAGCCGCGGUAAUACGUAGGUCCCGAGCGUUGUCCGGAUUUAUUGGGCGUAAAGCGAGCGCAGGCGGUUAGAUAAGUCUGAAGUUAAAGGCUGUGGCUUAACCAUAGUACGCUUUGGAAACUGUUUAACUU
rnacentral:rRNA from 1 species